GGUGGCGGAAUCCGGUAACGCGCGCGCCUGGAAAGCGCGUGUCCUCACGGACUUUAGGGUUCAAAUCCCUACCCUG
rnacentral:tRNA from 1 species